rnacentral:rRNA from 1 species
CCCGCGCCGUAUUAGCUAGUUGGUGGGGUAACGGCCUACCAAGGCGACGAUACGUAGCCGACCUGAGAGGGUGAUCGGCCACACUGGAACUGAGACACGGUCCAGACUCCUACGGGAGGCAGCAGUAGGGAAUCUUCCGCAAUGGGCGAAAGCCUGACGGAGCAACGCCGCGUGAGUGAUGAAGGUCUUCGGAUCGUAAAGCUCUGUUGUUAGGGAAGAACAAAUGUGUAAGUAACUGUGCACAUCUUGACGGUACCUAACCAGAAAGCCACGGCUAACUACGUGCCAGCAGCCGCGGUAAUACGUAGGUGGCAAGCGUUAUCCGGAAUUAUUGGGCGUAAAGCGCGCGUAGGCGGUUUUUUAAGUCUGAUGUGAAAGCCCACGGCUCAACCGUGGAGGGUCAUUGGAAACUGGAAAACUUGAGUGCAGAAGAGGAAAGUGGAAUUCCAUGUGUAGCGGUGAAAUGCGCAGAGAUAUGGAGGAACACCAGUGGCGAAGGCGGCUUUCUGGUCUGCAACUGACGCUGAUGUGCGAAAGCGUGGGGAUCAAACAGGAUUAGAUACCCUGGUAGUCCACGCCGUAAACGAUGAGUGCUAAGUGUUAGGGGGUUUCCGCCCCUUAGUGCUGCAGCUAACGCAUUAAGCACUCCGCCUGGGGAGUACGGUCGCAAGACUGAAACUCAAAGGAAUUGACGGGGACCCGCACAAGCGGUGGAGCA